UAGGUUGGCGUCGGCGAUCCCCUUGGAAUGGCAGUAACCCACGCAUUGGCCUCGGGAAUGGGCGGAAUGCGGGCAGCCGGAGAUCUGGUUGCCCGUAUGC
rfam:Desulfobacterium vacuolatum DSM 3385 genome assembly, contig: Ga0002809_112